CCCAUCGGAGCUCCAGCAGGGUUGCCGGAGUUUUAGCUUUGGUCAUUGGGAGUCUGUUGGUGAUUGCCUUUGGUCAAAUGGGCAGAGGAAGAACUGGAAAGAACAUAAGAUGAAUAAAUGGCGAAGACGGCUGCUGCUGCUGAGACUAGCAGCCAUUCAAUCCUGCUGAACAUUGCCAUGUCAGCAGACACGCCGUGCUCGUGUUGUCGAGUGUUUUUGUCCGCACCAAUGUCGCAGCCAACAAGUAUGCUCUCAAUGGCUAAUACUAAUAGUGGGCCCCACACGAACUCGAGCCGGUUCUUCAUCGCUCUAAUGCUAAAUGACCGAAUCUCAAAAUCAUGGGGUUUGAGGUCCUUGAUCUCAUG